rnacentral:rRNA from 1 species
GUCCUUUGAGUAUAAUUUAAGGUUUAACCUGCCCACUGAAAUUUAAAUGGCCGCAGUAUUUUGACUGUGCAAAGGUAGCAUAAUCAUUAGUUUCUUAAUUAGAAGCUUGUAUGAAUGGUUGGACGAGAGGCUUUCUGUCUCGAUUUAUUUAUUAAAAUUUUAUUUUUAAGUCAAAAAGCUUAAAUGAUUUUAAAAGACGAGAAGACCCUAUAGAGUUUUAUAAAUUAAAUAAUUUUUUUUUUAGAAUUUUUUUUAUUAAUUAAUUUAUUUUAUUGGGGUGAUAUAUAAAUUAAAUAAACUUUAUAUUAUUUUUUACAUUAAUAUAUGAAUUUAUGAUCCAUAAAUUAUGAUUAAAAGAAAAAAUUACCUUAGGGAUAACAGCGUAAUUUUUUUUUAGAGUUCUAAUCGAAAAAAAAGUUUGCGACCUCGAUGUUGGAUUAAAAUUAAUUUAUGGUGUAGAAGCUAUAAUAUUAGGUCUGUUCGACCUUUAAAAUUUUACAUGAUCUGAGUUUAAACCGGCGUGAGCCAGGUUGGUUUCUAUCUUUAAAUAAAUUAAGUAUUUUAGUACGAAAGGACCAAAUAUUUUUAAUAUUUAAUUAAUUUUGAAUU